GAUGAACGCUGGCGGCGUGCCUAAUACAUGCAAGUCGAGCGAACAGACGAGGAGCUUGCUCCUCUGACGUUAGCGGCGGACGGGUGAGUAACACGUGGAUAACCUACCUAUAAGACUGGGAUAACUUCGGGAAACCGGAGCUAAUACCGGAUAAUAUAUUGAACCGCAUGGUUCAAUAGUGAAAGACGGUUUUGCUGUCACUUAUAGAUGGAUCCGCGCCGCAUUAGCUAGUUGGUAAGGUAACGGCUUACCAAGGCAACGAUGCGUAGCCGACCUGAGAGGGUGAUCGGCCACACUGGAACUGAGACACGGUCCAGACUCCUACGGGAGGCAGCAGUAGGGAAUCUUGCGCAAUGGGCGAAAGCCUGACGGAGCAACGCCGCGUGAGUGAUGAGGGUCUUCGGAUCGUAAAACUCUGUUAUUAGGGAAGAACAAAUGUGUAAGUAACUAUGCACGUCUUGACGGUACCUAAUCAGAAAGCCACGGCUAACUACGUG
rnacentral:rRNA from 1 species